rnacentral:rRNA from 1 species
AAGCCUGUUAAAGGGAAAGCAGUAAUGCUGCAGAAAGAGGAGUCCGCGGCCGAUUAGCUAGUUGGUGAGGUAACGGCCCACCAAGGCGAUGAUCGGUAGCCGGCCUGAGAGGGCACACGGCCACACUGGCACUGAAACACGGGCCAGACUCCUACGGGAGGCAGCAGUGGGGAAUCUUGCACAAUGGGGGCAACCCUGAUGCAGCGACGCCGCGUGAACGAUGAAGCCCUUCGGGGUGUAAAGCUCUUUCGACGGGAACGAUAAUGACGGUACCCGAAGAAGAAGCUGCGGCUAACUACGUGCCAGCAGCCGCGGUAAUACGUAGGCAGCGAGCGUUGUUCGGAAUUACUGGGCGUAAAGAGUGCGUAGGCGGUGCUCUAAGUCUGUUGUGAAAUCUCCCGGCUUAACUGGGAGGGUGCGGCGGAAACUAGAGUGCU